AAAAGUAGACUUCCUCAAAUUCACUGGUGAGUUGGCAUGGGUGGUACUAUAUAGAUCAUAGUAAUUAUAGUACUUUCUAUGGCAACUUAUUAGCGAAUUAAAGUUCACAAUAAAUGAC
rnacentral:precursor_RNA from 15 species